AACUUUCGACAAUGGAUCUCUUGGCUCUCGCAUCGAUGAAGAACGCAGCAAAAUGCGAUAAGUAAUGUGAAUUGCAGAAUUCAGUGAAUCAUCGAAUCUUUGAACGCACCUUGCGCUCCUUGGUAUUCCGAGGAGCACGCCUGUUCGAGUGUCGUGAAAUUCUCAAGCUGUGAUGCUUUUUUGUGAAGCAACUUAGCUUGGUAUUGGGCUUUGCCGUUGUCCCCUUCAUUUGGGACGGACGGCUGGCCUUAAAGGCAUUAGCUUUGAUCCCUGGUGUGGAUUGGUUCUACUCAGCGAGAUAAUAAUCUAACCGCUGAGGACAUCUUUUGGGAUGGCCAGUUCUCCUUGGGGUUGCUCUCUAAUCUGGAUUGCAAGAUUUCGCGAAUCUUUGCUCCACUUUCAAUUUUGACCUCGAAUCAGGUGGGACUACCCGCUGAACUUAAGCAUAUCAAUAAGCGGAGGCU
rnacentral:misc_RNA from 1 species